rnacentral:snRNA from 1 species
AUACUUACCUGGCAGGGGAGAUACCGUGAUCGCGAAGGUGGUUUUCCCAGGGCGAGGCUCACCCAUUGCACUCCGGGUGUGCUGACCCCUGCGAUUUUCCCAAAUGUUGGAAACUCAACUGCAUAAUUUGUGGUAGUGGGGGACUGCAUUCACACUCUCCCCUG